rnacentral:rRNA from 1 species
AACGAACGCUGGCGGCAUGCCUAACACAUGCAAGUCGAACGAGACCUUCGUGUCUAUUGGCGCACGGCUGCUUAACGCGGGGGAACCUGCCCUUAGGUUCCGUGUACCUCCCCUAGAGGGGUGCUCAUGCCAGAGGAUGUCUUCGGACCUAAGAUUUAUCGCUUUUGGAUGGGCCCUCGUUGGAUUAGCUAGUUGGGAGGGUAAAAGCAGACCAAGGCGAGGAUCCAGAGCUGGUAGGAGAGGAUGACUAGCCACACUGGGGAUGAGACACGGACCAGACUCGUACGGGAGGGAGGAGUAGAGAAUAUUGGACAAUGGGCGAAAGCCUGAUACAGCAAUGCCGGGUGAGUGAUGAAGGCCUUAGGGUUGUAAAGCUCUUUUACCCGGGAUGAGAAUGACAGUAACGGGAGAAGAAGCACCGGCUAACUACGUG